rnacentral:lncRNA from 1 species
GUGAUUCAGAGGCCGAACAGGACGGGAAUCACAAGGAGUUGUGAUCGGUAAGAGUUGUCUACCUUUUAGGCUUAGUGUGAUUGGUCGAGUCCCUCGAGGUUACACUAAGACGCUGAUUGGAUCCUGAUCCCCACUAGAAGUCUGCCUGAGACUUCCGUUUCACGUGCUGAGGGUGUCGCGUGACUCGUUAGUAAAAUAGUGGGAGCAUAUUAAGAUAGAAGUCCAUAUCUUGAUAGUUUAUUU